AGGGUUUUAGUAUAAUGUAGUAUGAUAAAUUGCAAAUUUAUUGGUUAUAAAUCUUU
rnacentral:tRNA from 1 species